rnacentral:rRNA from 1 species
AUUGAACGCUGGCGGCAGGCCUAACACAUGCAAGUCGAGCGAGUGGCGGACGGGUGAGUAAUGUAUGGGGACUGCCCGAUAGAGGGGGAUAACUACUGGAAACGGUGGCUAAUACCGCAUACUAUCGGAUAACCCAUAGGGGAUUAGCUAGUAGGUGGGGUAAAUGCUCACCUAGGCGACUAUCGCUAGCUGGUCUGAGAGGAUGAUCAGCCACACUGGUACGGAGACACGGCCCGGACUCCAACGGAGGCAGCAGUGGGGAAUAUUGCACAAUGGGCGCAAGCCUGAUGCAGCCAUGCCGCGUGGAUGAAGAAGGCCUUAGGGUUGUAAAGUACUUUCAGCGGGGAGGCGUUACCCGCAGAAGAAGCACCGGCUAACUCCGUGCCAGCAGCCGCGGUAAUAC